rnacentral:rRNA from 1 species
GGGCCCGCACAAGCAGCGGAGCAUGUGGUUUAAUUCGAAGCAACGCGAAGAACCUUACCAGGUCUUGACAUCCUUUGACCGUCUGAGAGAUCAGAUUUUCCCUUCGGGGACAAAGUGACAGAUGGUGCAUGGUUGUCGUCAGCUCGUGUCGUGAGAUGUUGGGUUAAGUCCCGCAACGAGCGCAACCCCUAUGUUUAGUUGCCAUCAUUCAGUUGGGCACUCUAGACAGACUGCCUGUGAAAGCAGGAGGAAGGUGGGGAUGACGUCAAAUCAUCAUGCCUCUUACGACCUGGGCUACACACGUGCUACAAUGGUCUGUACAGAGGGUAGCGAAGCAGUGAUGCGGAGCCAAUCUCAAAAAACAGAUCUCAGUUCGGAUUGCAGGCUGCAACUCGCCUGCAUGAAGUCGGAGUUGCUAGUAAUCGCGAAUCAGAAUGUCGCGGUGAAUGCGUUCCCGGGCCUU